GCCGGCCAGCAACGUAUUUGUAACAGUUGACGGUCGCUCAACCAAGCAAACUCACGGAGCACGGUCGAAGCUUAUUCUGAUAAUCAUAUUAAGCAAAAAUUCACAAUGCAGCGCCAUUGUAUGUCAAAAUCAGGUGGUAUAUAAGCAUAAUAUAGUAAAUUACGUGCUUAUAAAUAAUUAAUAAACACUAUCUAAGCAUACAAAAUACAGAGAAUAAAAUGAUUCAAUUAUGUGUCAGACGAACGGCACAUAAACACACGGAAUUCUCAUUGACACGAAAAUCAUAAAAUAUUAAUAUUAUUUUAUGUAGCUCGUAGAUCUUAUUGCAAUCGCUGGCUCGCUGUAUUCCAAACACUAUGUCCUCGCGUGUCUUCGGGUUGAGGUCCAAUUGCUUACAAAGCUACGAACAUCACACGAGGUAUGGUUAACAUUUCGGUUGUCUCUCUUUUACACAACUUUAGAUAUCGAUAAAAACUUUCCUAUACUCGAAGUCGACAUGUUAAUUGUAGAUUUUGGAGGAUACUCAGUAACUCUUCAUUUUGUAUUUAUACGUGUUCCACACAAUUAUCACUGUAAACAGGGUUUACGUACUUAAACUGUAUUAACAAGAUAAUCGUGUAAUGGUGAAGAGUUGUGUUUUCUUUGAGGUUUUUAUAGCAGUUAGUGUUCAUAUUUUGGACUUCUGGUUUGUGACGCAGCGAAGUGGUUACCAAAGUUUCGAAGCUUUCAACCCUGAAGAUCACCAUCUGAUUGUGUUUGGGGCUUCAAGAUGACUUCUGCAGCGAAUCUUCUGGUAUUAAUGCUGGUUGCGUGGAACAGGGUCCAGGGGCAACUGGGACAAAUUCCAUUUCAGAAUCAAGUUCCAUUCCAGGGACAAUUUCCCGUUCCCAUACAGGGUCAGUACCCAUAUCAAAACCAGUAUCCAAUUCAGUUACCGUAUCCCCUCCAGGGUCAACUCCCUUUCCAAGGCCAACUGGCGCCCCAGGGGCAGACCCCAGAAAUAACGCACCCGCCGGCCUCCUGCAGGUACUGGUGCCAGUCUCCGGGGAUUCUGCGUCACUUUUACUGUUGCCCCAUGGGCGGUAAGCCCGGCACGUGCCCGCAGAUCAGCCAUGAGGUGUGUAUGAACUACACUCCAAGGCUUGAUGUCGUGACCUGCACGUUCGAUUACAGCUGCGGUGAGACUGACAAGUGCUGCUUCGAUCCUUGCCUCAACAAAUACACCUGCCAACUCGCAGCGACGCCAAGGGUCGGUUAGCGAAACUAAUAGCGACGGUGACAACCUCUGCCGGAAUUACAACGUGCUGCAUUUGCGACAAGGCAAAUCCCAGGCUCGGAUGUCACGACUCGAUAUUUAAUACACUUCCGCUUUCAAAAUUCCUAGGUUAAGUUUUCUUGUUUUUCAAUGUUGUUCUGCUGCUUCUAAUCCUCACCCUCUUCCAUCACAUCAUUUUCCUCUGUUCUAUGCUUCUCUUUCUAACUAUCACUUCUGAUAUAUCUUUCUCCUUCUUCGUACUGCGAUAAAACCGUUUGCUUCGAGAUAUCGAACUCACGUUUAUAUCUAAAUCUGAAUCUCCCCACGUAAUAACAGCUUUAUCUUACAUUCCUUUCUUAGUUUUAUCAACUGUUUUCAUUGUAACUUGAUCAAAUUUAUUUCUACCUGUUUUGAUAUUGUUUAUAAUGCAUUCAUAAUUUUUUUCCACUCUCAAAACUUACUCUUAAAAUCAUCCUUAUCAGAUAUGUUUUUUUAUCUUAGUUUUUCUUAAUAUUCUUGAUGCACUGCCAAUAUAUGAAGGUAAUUUAACAAACGUAUUAUAACGUUUGAGUUUUAUAUGAAUAUUAUUUUAUCUCCCUGUGUGUAAAAAUAUUUUCCCUGUUAGGUGUAUACCGUUUGUUUCAGUAUCACAUGUUUUUAACUUGGUUGAUAUGUAGAAAAUCUGGCAACGUCUUUCAACGACAAUUUAAUAUUUUAAAGAUGUGAUCCUACCUCAAAUAAAACAAUUCAUACCAACAUCAUGAAGUUUAAUAUUUGAAUUUAUUAGCAUUCCCAGCAGAUGGCACUAGUAGUUUAAAAUUCGUUUAACUGGAAUCUAAUUUUCAAGUUCGUAAUUUAUACAGAAUAAACCAGAUAUGCAUACAAACAAAUGAUAAUUUUGAGCUCUGUAAUUUUUAUCAGUAAUUCGCAGGGCCACUCAAUAUAUUUAGUAAGUGAUAAUACUCGAGAUAAUACAAGAUUGUGAAUAUUGUGUAAGUAGUAAGGACAUUUUGUAUUGGAACAAACCAAUUGAUGGCAUUUUUUUUGCAAAGUUUUCGGAAAAUGUUUCAAAUGCUAUAGGUUUACUCUUUGUUUGUAUCGUAACUUCAAAAAUUUCUGGGACGGAAGAGAAUACAGCGAAAAUGAGGCAGGUAGUGUGAUCAAAAUUUGCAAUCGACUACGAAAAUCGACGAAGGAAACCAUUCAAAUGUUUCUCGCGAUAUGUAUCGAAUUUUAUCGAUUUACGAGAACAAAAAAACAGAUGUCGAUUCAAGGAAUUUCGUUGUCAGAUGUCGUGAAUUUUGACUUCCAGAAAUAUUUUCAACACUUUUACGAAUACUGACUGAAGGGCAGAUCUUCAGAAAGACUGUAGUUUGUAAAGGUAAGUCUAACUUAAUUAAAAAAAAAUAGCUCCAGUCCCGAAACUUUUUGAAACUACUAUGUAUUUUAUAUAAUUACACGAAAGAAUCAAAAUAAAUAAGUUAGUAUUGGUGUAUAAUA